UACGGGGGGGGCGAGCGUUGUUCGGAAUUACUGGGCGUAAAGGGCGCGUAGGCGGGCGGGUAAGUCUCUCGUGAAAGCCCACGGCUCAACCGUGGAAUUGCGGGAGAUACUACUUGUCUUGAGUCCGGGAGAGGAGUGUGGAAUUCCCAGUGUAGCGGUGAAAUGCGUAGAUAUUGGGAGGAACACCGGUGGCGAAGGCGGCACUCUGGACCGGAACUGACGCUGAGGCGCGACAGCUAGGGGAGCAAACGGG
rnacentral:rRNA from 1 species